AACGUAGGACGCAAGCGUUAUCCGGAGUUACUGGGCGUAAAGCGCGUGCAGGCGGUCUUGCCAGUCUGAUGUGAAAUCUCCCCGCUCAACGGGGAGCAGCCAUUGGAAACUACAAGACUGGAGUCUGACAGAGGUAGGCGGAAUUCCGGGUGGAGUGGUGAAAUGCGUAGAGAUCCGGAGGAACACCAGAGGCGAAGGCGGCCUACUGGGUCAGUACUGACGCUGAGCCGCGAAAGCCAGGGGAGCGAACGGG
rnacentral:rRNA from 1 species